rnacentral:sRNA from 1 species
CAGCAUUUGUGCUUUUCACUAAGCUUUUUCAUCAUGGAUAUUCUUGGGCUCAAUAUUAGAUAACAUUUUGAAUAUUCUUUGUCCUCUUGGCUUUUGUUCAAGAUGUUGAGCAUUGAUUACUAAUCAACUAGUCUGGGAGAUGAAAGCCAAAGCUGUAAACAGACAGGCCAGGUAAUAUGAAUGAAGAAAUUGAAACUAGAAGUAAACAUCAUGGUAAUUCUAAUUAUAGGCUUAACAAGCGCACAUUCUCUGCUGCCAACAGUACCAAUUUGUCAUCCACGCAACAAAUAUUCCUUGGUAAUCUGCUAUCAUAUAACAGUUUUCUCUUUGUCAUUUUUAUGAAUUAAAGCUUUCAAGGUCAAAGUAAGACUUAAUUUUUUCUUUUUAACUGCUAAUUCUAAAAUAAUUUAUCAUUGCAUGUUAAAAAUAAUAAAUAACUUUUUAUACAUUUUUCUUUGUUUUGGUCAAGCUUCAGAUUUUCUUAGCAACAAAUGUUUGAUGGUCUGUCUGGUUCAUCUCUUAACACUUAAGAUGGCUACACUGAGAGUACAAAAUUUCAUUCAAAACAAUUUUACAAAAAAGAUAAUGGAAGGCACAUUAAAUAUAUUAUUUUACUAUUAUUAUACAACAAUGUUAUUUUAAUAUCAUGAGAUAGUGUAUUUUAAGAAAUAUUCUAAUUCAGUAUAUGAUGUUUCCAUAUUUCAGAAGCUUAACAAGCAAACAUUCUGUUGCCAACAGGUCAUCCUAUCCAAGCAACUAAUAUUCCUUGGUAAUCUGCUAUCAGAUUAUUAGUUUUCUCUUUGGCAUUUUUAUGAAUUAAAUCUUUCAAAACCAAAGUAAGACAUUUUUUUUUCUUCUACAGUUAAUUCUGAAACAAUUAAAAAUUUUUUAAACAUUAUUCUCAACCAUUUUUCUGUGUUUUGGUCAAGCCUUAGAUUUGGUUAGCAUAACCUGAACUGCAUAUCAACAAAUGUCUGAUGGUCUGUCUGGUUCAUUUCUCAACACUAUGCAGAUGGCUACACGGGUAUCAGCUAUCAGCAGUGCACCCCUAUGAUAUACAGGUUUUCAUUGCCAAGUCACUCUGCCAAACAGUGUAUACACCUUUCUUGCAUUGGUAGUGACCCACUUUACUGUACUUUAAUGUCAGGAGUCUGGAUAUGUCAGGCCACGGAUAUCAAUUUUGUGUCCAAGGUUACUUAGGUAAUUCUCUAAGAACAAUAGGUUAGUGGCUCAAUUAUUGUCCACUGAUGCUCCACUGAUGGCUUGGUUCUCCACUGAUGCCUAGGUUCUCCACUGAUGCCUAGAUUCUCCACUGAUGGCUUGGCUCUCCACUGAUGCCUUGAUUCUCCACUGAUGCCUUGGUUCUCCACUGAUGCCUUGGUUCUCCACUGAUGCCUUGGUUCUCCACUGAUGCCUUUAUAGCCAUAAAGUUUAUCUAGUGAUCUACAUAUCAAGACUAAAUGGUCAAUUAAACAUGAGGUCAAGGAAAAAGGAUGAACAUUUCAAGGCUACAGGAGGAACAUUAAACGUCUCUCUCACUGUGAAGAUUCUACCGAUCUACAGAUGGUCAACAUGUUUUAUCUAAAGUUCAUCUGCCAUUUCUUCAAAUGGAGCCAUAGUCAGAAUAAGGUUCAAAUGUAUCAAUAGUUUUUUUUUGGCAGAUAUCAAGGUAGAGCAAUAGGAAUCUACUGGGUUUUUAAAUGUUUGAUUAGUCAAAAUGUUUGCACUAUUCCUAUUUCCAAUAUCUGCCAAAGUGUCUGCUAAGUGUAACUAAUUAGGAAAAUGGUGAUUGCAAAGUCUUACAUAUGGACAAGAAGAAUGCUAAAGAUUGGUAUCUUGGGGCUUGAUUCAGUGAAAGAAUGUUGGACUAGCAGAAGUGUUAUGGAAUGUGUGUGUGUGUUUCUAUGGUGACAGUGGGAAGAGGUUAGCGAUUGGAUUUGAAUGAUGCAAAAUAUGUGAAAUUGUUGUCAUUUUGUCUUAGUUAAGACAGAAGACUCCAGAAGGUUGUGUUAUUUUAGUGAGUUAGAUUUUAUGAAAUCUUAUUACUGAAGUCUACUACAGUUAUUUUAUUUGAUCACAAGUUAUUUUGUCUAUGUUAUAAAUUUUAUAUUUGGUUUUGUUCAUAAGGAAGUUAUAUGAGUUGAUUGAAGUUUCAUUAGUUAAGAUAUACCAUGCCUACAGCAGUUUAGUUGUCUACCAGCAGUUUGAUGCUACAAGUCAAUGACUGUCAACACCAAGAAGACUAAAUUAAAUAAAGCUAUGUCUAUUUCUACAUCUUUUUGUUGCUACUAACUUCUAACCUGGUGUUACUAACAACUAACGUGAAAUGGGAGAAGUAAAUUAUUAUCUAAUUCAUACCCAACUCUUCAAAUUCCAUAUAAUUGUAGAGAACUGACAUGAAAUAAAACAUUAACAAAAUGUGUCUUAUUUUUGUAACCUUUCCUCCACUUUGCUUUUUUUUUUACUCCU